GAGGAUGGCCCAGACCCCCCUCCACUCACCCGGGAAUAGCGCAUCGAAGAGGUGAUAGAGAAAUCUCCCCCAGCCCACGCUGGAAGCUCCCGUGGAAGGCCUUGCAACCCCAACCUUUUGAAAAUGGCGCCCCUCCCCCACCUGCAGUCUCCCUUCUUACCCUUCCCAGCCUCCUGCCAGUAGUGGUUUGUCCUGUGACCACUAUGGACGGUUUCAAAAGUUACCUCCAGGAAGUGGGGGUGCCAGACACACCUAAGGGUGGGAAGACCUGGCGAGCGCUGUCCAUGCAGUGUCUCCUGUCCUCGUGUGUGCUAAGGUCUCUAUGUACUGCCUCAGCUAAUUGUUCAGGGUGUUCAGGCUGACACAAGUCUCCUGUGCUGAGGAGUCACAGGCUGUGGCCACUUACUUUCUCCACCGAGUGUGACUUCCGCUAACUUUUCUUUUUACGGGAAAGCACAACUGUCCUGGGAAGGUUCUGAACUGUCUAGGUCCAAUCAACAGGGAUGUACUUUGUUUCCUUUUGUUUUUUUAACAUUUGAUUUUUUUCAGAUUGUGUGUGUGUCUGGCCAUGUGUGUAAGUGCGGGGGCGCUUGCAGACAAAGGCUAGAAGAGGGUAUUGGAACCCAUGGAGCUGGUGUUACAUACGGGUGGCUCUGAACUGCCUGAUGCGGGUGCUGAGAACCCCACUCAGGUCCCUUGGAGAGCAACCCUCGCUACUAAUCCCUGAGCCAUCUCUCCAGCCCCCUAUUUUGUUUUUUUCUAAAUCACAGAAAAUUCCAUCUGUUCUGGCCCCAUUACCUGGCUCCAUCUCAAGACGAAAGCCCGUUCCUGACCCCCCUGCUUGUCUCCUGGGCUCUUCCUGCCUUCCUUGCUAGGUUGCUCCUUCUCUGUCUCUGAGUUUCCUGAAUGUGCACGGGGAGGGGGGCGGGGGGGGGGGGCUUUUUGUACAAUUGGCUGGGGUCACAGCUGAUGCCUCCUUUUCAGUCUUGACUCAGAUGCCACCUGCUGAGACAUCAACCUCAGAUAGUGGGCUUCCCUGGGAUUGAACCCUCUGUUACAGUGUAUCACUUCAGCAAGCCAGGGGCUUGAGAAUCAGUCCUUGGGUCUCCCUGUUGGGUAAAGAAUGACCCCUCCCACUCAUGGUGGUCAGUGUAGCAGAAGCUCACAGUGAGGACAUGAGUCCCUAAGGACUAUGGGUAGCAGGCCGAGUGAAUGUGUGACAAAGUACCCUUCCCUCCUGCAGAGUGCACCCUUAAAGCUGACCAGCAAAACAGGAAGGUUAAUAUGUAGCCGAGCUUCAAGCCCAGCAUAGCAAAACACCAAUACUAUUUAAAGAGUGGGAGAGGGACCUGGAGUCUGGGGAUGUCCAGAACAGCAUGGAAGCUUUUCCUGAGGCUGCUCCAGGGUCUUCGUACUGAAGAAGGCAGGAGUCAGCACCCUAGCAAGAUUGUCAUAGAGCAUCAGUCCCUCCAGCUGCCAAGAGCUGUUGCUGCCAGGGAUCCCAAACAGCCAAAGCCUGAGACCUGGGCCUGAGGAGGGUGUAGGGGUGAGGCUGCCUCCACCCACAGAUGCAGAAACUAGAGACCUCAAGUAGGCCUAUGGGUGGCUGUGGGAUUAACACCCUAUUGGCAUGAGGUCACACUCACCGUUUGAGGAAGUGAACCCUGUGAGGAGUCGGCACCCACUGGGCAGGGGGGCUGGUCCCACUGGAAAGAGGGACCCGUGUUCUUGAAUGUCAAAGGAGAUAAAUGGCCACCUGGAUCUGAGAAAGGGAAUUUUGUAGACACACACACCGAUCAGCUCUUGAUGGUAGUGGGUACACUGCGAAUGUAUCACCUUGAAGAAGGAAACAGAAGGAAGCCAAGAGGAACCACACAGACGUGGAGCUUUCUACACAGAAGUUGUGUCACACGUUGUACAAGAAGGGCGAGCAUGUGAGACGCUGAGUUCCCCAGUGUGGGGGAGGGCUUGGAGGCUUCGCAAGCACUGCCCAGAGAUGAGGAGACUUUAGGCUGAAGAGAAAAAGAAGUCUUUUUUUUUUCCAGAACGAAUGGAAACAAAUCCCUCCUUGGAUCCACGAAAGUGAAAUUAGACAAAGAGAGAAAAAGUCAUGGGUUACUACCAGGCUAGAGUUCCCAGACCUAUCGUGGAUGCCAGGAGACGGUGCAGUGAUAAUCGGAUAUUGAGAAAAGAAUACAUCUCCGCUGGCAAGAUCCUGCUGUGUUUCAGCUACCGAGCCUCUGUGCAGUGGUGGCUAGCGGAUGUUGCCGUAGCGAGAGGGAAACUGAAUCCAGAGAUGAGCUGAUGGUCGAGAGAGAGGACAGAAACUGCCAGAUGAGAAACAAGUUAGGGAGCAAAAGCAAAGCGGAGCUUCCUAGGGCCCACCCACAGCCGCGAGGAAUCUUGCGAUAAGUAGCCUUAAAGAUCUGGGAGAAUUAAUUUUCAAAUGUGAGGACAGGAAAGAGAACUUGACUCUGCGUGUUUCUGUUUGAAAAGUAGCAAUGAUACCUCACUGUACCUUUGAAAAUCCUUGCUAAAACAUAUAUAUAUAUUUUUUUUUUUUUACUAAAAUCUUUAUUGAGUAAAACUUAAUUUUUUUUUAUUGUUUGAAACAGGGUGUGGGCCUGAAAUCUGUGAUCCUUCUGUCUUAGCCUCAAGGGUGCUGGGAUUCCAUACAUGGCCACACCUAGCUGAAAAACAAUACUUUGGACGAGUGGCCGGAGCUCUU
rnacentral:lncRNA from 1 species